GAAGCUGUGAAAAUCGUGGACACAGCGCCAGAAAACGCAAAUAUAGUGACGUGAAAUGCCAACAGAGCCACUGGCGAGCACUGACGGAGAGGAAGGGGAUGAAGAGCGUCACGGAGUCGGUCCGUCUGCUGCACAGAAAAUGUCCCAGUUUCCUGAAGAGUGUCUUUGGAGAAGAAAUCACAACACGGUGCAGGACUGUCAUGUGGGUAUCUCUCACACCCGUCUGCCUCGCUGCCUAGGAAUAGUGUAACUGUCAGUGAAACCUCGAGAGGGUCUGCAGAUCUUAAAUCAUCCAGGAAACGUAGCAGAGCCUCUGUGUGAGAAGAGUUAAUCGUAUUGAACUGGACGUGGAGUGGAGGAGAGGAGGCA